AAUAGCGUAUAUUAAAGUUGUUGCAGUUAAAAAGCUCGUAGUUGAAUUUUUGCUUGCCGCCGAUGUCGGAACUUCCGUACGUUCGGCGGCGUGCAUCCUUGGGUGGAACCUGUGUGGCAUUAGGUUGUCGUGCAGGGGAUGCUCAUCGUUUACUGUGAAAAAAUUAGAGUGUUCAAAGCAGGCUUUCGCUUGAAUACAUUAGCAUGGAAUAAUAAGAUAGGACUUUGGUGCUAUUUUGUUGGUUGAGCCUAAAGUAAUGAUUAAUAGGGAUAGUUGGGGGCACCUGUAUUGCGUUGUCAGAGGUGAAAUUCUUGGAUUUACGCAAGACAAACAGCUGCGGAAGCGUCUGCCAAGGAUGUUUUCAUUAA
rnacentral:rRNA from 1 species